rnacentral:rRNA from 1 species
UACGAAGGGGGCAAGCGUUGUUCGGAAUUAUUGGGCGUAAAGCGCGUGUAGGCGGUCCGGUAAGUCCGCUGUGAAAGUCGGGGGCUCAACCCUCGAAUGCCGGUGGAUACUGUCGGGCUUGAGUGCGGGAGAGGCGAGUGGAAUUCCUGGUGUAGCGGUGAAAUGCGCAGAUAUCAGGAGGAACACCGAUUGCGAAGGCAGCUCGCUGGAACGUUACUGACGCUGAGACGCGAAAGCGUGGGGAGCAAACAGG